CCUACGGGUGGCAGCAGUCGAGAAUCAUUCACAAUGGGGGAAACCCUGAUGGUGCGACGCCGCGUGGGGGAAUGUAGGUCUUCGGAUUGUAAACCCCUGUCAUGUGGGAGCAAAUUAAAAAGAUAGUACCACAAGAGGAAGAGACGGCUAACUCUGUGCCAGCAGCCGCGGUAAUACAGAGGUCUCAAGAGUUGUUCGGAAUCACUGGGCGUAAAGCGUGCGUAGGCUGUUUCGUAAGUCGUGUGUGAAAGGCGCGGGCUCAACCCGCGGACGGCACAUGAUACUGCGAGACUAGAGUAAGGGAGGGGGAACCGGAAUUCGCGGUGUAGCAGUGAAAUGCGUAGAUAUCGAGAGGAACACUCGUGGCGAAGGCGGGUUCCUGGACAUUAACUGACGCUGAGGCACGAAGGCCAGGGGAGCGAAAGGGAUUAGAUACCCCGGUAGUC
rnacentral:rRNA from 1 species